AACGGUCUAUACCUGCGGUACCUGCGGAAGGAUCAUUACCGAGUUUUCAACUCCCAAACCCCAUGUGAACUUAUACCAUUUACACCGUUGCUUCGGCGGGUUCUCGCCCCGGGCUUUACAACCCCGGAACCAGGCGGCCCGCCGGGGGACCCAAACUCUAGAUUUUAUUUUAGCAUGUCUGAGUGGAAUCAUUACAAAAUGAAUCAAAACUUUUAGCAAUGGAUCUCUAGAUCGGAAGAG
rnacentral:misc_RNA from 1 species